UAUCAAUAUGCAAGGAUGGUUUUGGAUGAAAAGUAGAGCUUCGACUCUUUUUGUAAUUUGGACAUCCCUAAUUCAAGAAGGUGAUAACAAUUCCAAUGGAGGUUGCAGUUAUGGUGAAGUCAAGGUUGGAAACAAUUGUACAGAUUGUCCGGUUGGAUAUUUUGGGGAAAGUUGCACCGAUAAAUGUACCCCACCUAGCUACGGAGAGUUAUGUAGUGACGUAUGUGACUGUACAUUAUGCCAUCACAUAUUCGGUUGCAAUGAAACAGGGGAGA